rnacentral:lncRNA from 1 species
GAUAUAUGGACUUAUAUCUACAUACAUAUGAACAAUAUAUAGAUUAAUUAUAUAUUAUGUGCUAUCUUUUGGUUUGGCCUAAUUUAGUGGUCUUAUGGACAUUAUUAAGGGGGCCAAUAUAUUGUCAUAUAGAGUGUAAGACUAAUUUAUGUGUAGAUACCCAUAAAAGUAACCAUAGUUACUUAAAGAGUAAUCAUAGUUAAUGAUGGGCUAA